UACCCAGAGGCAGGAUGCCGGAGCUUACCAUGUAUAGCAAAAAAUGACGUCGGAGCAAUAUUCAGCGAAAAGAACAACAUUGUCGUCGCGUAUAUGGGUGUAUUUGAAACACUAUCGAACACAGUGAUUACUGCUGAAUCUGGAAGAGCGGCAGUAUUAGCUUUUCCACAGAUAGAAUCUGAACCACCGCCUUCAGUUAUAUGGCAGGACGAAAAUGGCGCUCUUCGUUAUGACCAGAAAUAUGCUGUUACUGACAAACAUGAACUUGUUAUACUUUGUACUUCGCAUGAAGAUGAAAAAGCUUACAGAGUACGUGCCAUAAAUACACAAUUAGGGAAAGAAGAAAAUAGUCCUUACAUAAAACUUAACGUGUUUGGAAAUGACAGCAAAGAAAU